CCGGGAACAUCAAAAUGGUGGCGAUUGUCUCGCUCGCCAGUUUGAUACAAAAGCACCAAUUUACCAAUUCCGACUGCGACAGAAAAGUCCAAUUUCGGCAUUUAUGAGUGAUAAAAGCUUUGGGGCUUCGAUAAUAUUGUUUUGAAUGGACGUGUGACGUCAACUUUACCUGAAGACACCUGCUAACAGUUAAUCACUGACACAGUGGAUGCAGGAUCAGGAGACGGGGAACGGGAUGUGGUGUAAACACACACACACACACUUGUCAAGGACAUACACAAAGUGGGGCACAGGACAGGAUGCGUGAGACGGACGCGACCACAGAAGGAAAAAGGACAUCCUCAGGCAUUCUGGAUUUUGACUACAGCUCCGCCCCCCUGGAGAAGACAUUACCCGGAGUUGGGAGGAGGAGGUGGAGCCGAGCCUAUGCUGGCCUCUAAGGCUGCGACUAAUUUGAAACAGGAUCAGACUCCAGCCAGCUCCAACUUUGCACAAGGAUUCGGAGUCAAGUAAGAAUCGGAAAUGAGGGUUGAGGUGAUAUUUUUGGACAUUUUCCCUAUGUGUGCUCAAGGCUGGAUGUUUUCAAGUUACUUUCCGACACAAAACUUUAACAAGCCCUCCUGGGAUGAGCCCAGGAUUGCCCCAAUAGCUUCCACCUCCCUCCCUCCCCGUUGUGAGCGAGCCAAAAUAGAGACAGCGAGAGGAGACGUUCCGAAGGGAGGGCUUGGGUUAUGUUUAGGUUUGUCCAACGAGGAAUAAUUUAGGGAAGUAUGUCCAUCCUCCCCCUCUCGCACAACAUCCACCUCUCCCGGCCCCCCCACAUGACUGUAAAUCUGCUUCCACAUUUUGCGCGAGCCCUGCCGCCACGCUGCUAACUUUGGGGGAGGUCAUUAACGAGGGCUAAAAGGAACAGCGGCACCAUGUAUGCCACGCUUAUGUCGCACCCGGCAGUGGGACAGGCGGACACAAGACAGAAAAUGGGACAAAGUGGACCAGCAGACUUGAGGCGAGACGAGAAAUUUUGGAUUAUUUGGUGCCUAACAUAAAAGUUGUGUUUGGUUAUUUAGGUCAGGGGUUAAGAACCCCUGGCCUAACUUUUUUGACCUCAGGGCCAAACUUUUCCACUAGAGAAGGGCUCGGAGCCCACUCAAAUAUUAACACAGGGGUGUCAAAAAAAUAUUGAUUGUUUUUUUUUGUUACGAUUCUUUAUCGAUUCAAAAAUAUCAAAAAUCUAUUUAAUUUUUUUUUUUAAUCUGUUCUGUCCAUCCACUCAAGCAAAUCAUAUUGUUGAUGUAAAUGCCCUUACCGGUACUUCCUGUACAGAUUUACUUUAGACCAGUGGUUCUUAACCUUGUUGGAGGUACCGAACCCCACCGGUUUCAUAAGCGCAUUCA